GCGGGAGAGGCGGGUGGACCCACCGCGCCGAUCCUCUGAGGGGAUCGAGUGGUGGCAGCAGCUAGGAGUUGAUCCGCCCGCGCGC
rnacentral:precursor_RNA from 1 species